rnacentral:rRNA from 1 species
UACGAAGGGGGCGAGCGUUGUUCGGAUUUACUGGGCGUAAAGGGCGCGCAGGCGGCUCAUUUUGUCAGGCGUGAAAGCCCCGGGCUUAACCUGGGAACUGCGUUUGAUACGGAUGGGCUAGAGUUCGGGAGAGGAGAGUGGAAUUCCCAGUGUAGAGGUGAAAUUCGAUAGAUAUUCGCAAGAACACCAAUGCGGAGGACGCGAGCCAUUCUCGGAUG